UGGGGAAUAUUGCACAAUGGGCGCAAGCCUGAUGCAGCCAUGCCGCGUGUGUGAAGAAGGCCUUCGGGUUGUAAAGCACUUUCAGCGAGGAGGAAGGGUGGUGUGUUAAUAGCACAUUGCAUUGACGUUACUCGCAGAAGAAGCACCGGCUAACUCCGUGCCAGCAGCCGCGGUAAUACGGAGGGUGCAAGCGGUAAUCGGAAUUACUGGGCGUAAAGCGCACGCAGGCGGUUUGUUAAGUCAGAUGUGAAAUCCCCGCGCUUAACGUGGGAACUGCAUUUGAAACUGGCAAGCUAGAGUCUUGUAGAGGGGGGUAGAAUUCCAGGUGUAGCGGUGAAAUGCGUAGAGAUCUGGAGGAAUACCGGUGGCGAAGGCGGCCCCCUGGACAAAGACUGACGCUCAGGUGCGAAAGCGUGGGGAGCAAACA
rnacentral:rRNA from 1 species